rfam:Toxocara canis scaffold2253, whole genome shotgun sequence.
GCGGCAGUGGCUCAGUGGCGGAGCCCCCGCCUCGCAUGCGGGGAGACCUGGGUUCGAUUCCCGGCUUCUUCC